UGGGCAACCUGCCCUCAGCUCUGGGAUAACUCCGGGAAACCGGGGCUAAUACCGGAUAUGACCACUCCUGGCAUCUGGGGUGGUGGAAAGUUCUUCGGCUGAGGAUGGGCCCGCGGCCUAUCAGCUUGUUGGUGGGGUUACGGCCCACCAAGGCGACGACGGGUAGCCGGCCUGAGAGGGCGACCGGCCACACUGGGACUGAGACACGGCCCAGACUCCUACGGGAGGCA
rnacentral:rRNA from 1 species